CAGUCGCCACGGUAAUACGGAGGAUCCAAGCGUUAUCCGGAAUCAUUGGGUUUAAAGGGUCCGUAGGCGGUCUUGUAAGUCAGUGGUGAAAGCCCAUCGCUCAACGGUGGAACGGCCAUUGAUACUGCAGGACUUGAAUUAUUGGGAAGUAACUAGAAUAUGUAGUGUAGCGGUGAAAUGCUUAGAGAUUACAUGGAAUACCAAUUGCGAAGGCAGGUUACUACCAAUUGAUUGACGCUGAUGGACGAAAGCGUGGGUAGCGAACAGGAUUAGAUACCCCCGUAGUCCCUGUCUCUUAUAA
rnacentral:rRNA from 1 species